AUGUGGAUGACAGUUGUGGGGAAGAAGCACAACCUCCAGGACGCGGAGCUCUACUUCUGCUCGAUAAUUCAGCUCGUGAAACGACUGUUAAGUUUUAUAGCUCCCUGGCUCCCAGCCCUUUUGAGCUUCUCAUCUGCUCCAACAAGGACAAUUUGGGGUGCUAUUGUCAGCUUCACUGAAUCUGCAGUAAAUGGCGUGCGAGGAGAGAUAAGCAAUGCUGUGACAGGAAACGCUGGAGACCAGGAGAUGGAACACUUAAAAAAGGAACACUGGUUUUUGCUGGAUUACUCUGAGGACUGGAAACACCAGGUUUGCACCAAUAUCGCUGGUUUGGUUAAAGUUUCAGGUGCGACACGCCAGCCGGACACUGGGCACUGAGACACGUGGGGAAGGGAGCAGCUGUCCCCAGCUGAGCCUCGUGGCGUGAAGAGGCACACACUGUUACAAGCUGCGUUUCCUUUCUGAGGUUAAUUACUAAUAAUACACCUGCAGUGCGCUAUCAGUGGAUCUGAGGUGAUGUGUCCAUCAUCAUUCUCCUCUGGGCAACCUGGGCCAGGCUCUCACCACCCUCACGGGAGAGAAUUUUUCCCUGAGAUCUCACCUCAUCUCCCCUCUUUCAGUGUCAAACCCUUCCCCUUUCUCCCUAGGGCUCCCCUCCCUGAUCCAGAGUCCCUCCCCAUCUCUCCUGGAGCCCCCUGGAAGGGGCUCUAAGGUCUCCCUGGGGCCUUCUCUUCUCCAGGCUGAACCCCCCCAACUCUCUCAGCCUGUCCUCACAGCCAGCCCUCCCAGCAUCUCCAGGGCCUCCUCUGGCCCCAUGUCCUUCUGCUGUUGGUGGCCCCAGAGCUGGAGGCAGCACUUGGUGGGGGGGUGGUGUUCUCCCCAGAGGGGAGCAGAGGGGCAGAAUCCCCCCCUGGCCCUGCUGGCCACGCUGCUGGGGGUGCAGCCUGGGGUGCAGGGGGUUUCUGGGCUGCCAGGGCAGGUUGCUGGGUCAUAGAAUCAUGGAAUGGUUUGGGUGGGAAGGGACCUUACAGCCCCCCCAGUGCCACCCCCUGCCCUGGGCAGGGACACCUCCCACCAGCCCAGGUUGCUCCAAGCCCCCUCCAACCUGGCCUUGAACCCCUCCAGGGAUGGGGCAGCCACAGCUUCUCUGGGCAACCUGGGCCAGGCUCUCACCACCCUCACACCAAACAAGUUCUUCCUGAGAUCUCACCUCAAUCUCCCCUCUUUCAUGUUGAGCUUCUCACCCCUCCAGCCCCCCCAAGCCCUCCCCAGCCCCUAUCCAUACGGGGCGGGGGUCAUGCAAUGUAACAAGAAACACAACGUUAAGGGACAAGGGACAUGGUGGCCGUGAGGGACGCGGAGACCCGGGGGCUCCUCC
rnacentral:lncRNA from 1 species